CUGCCAUGGGACUACUACCAUCCUUUUGGUACCGAGUCCUGAUCUAUUUCGGAGAGCUUGAUUCUAAAAUCCCAGAAAGAUGUCUUAUCAACAGCAGCAGUGCAAGCAACCCUGCCAGCCACCUCCCAUGUGCCCACCUAAGUGCCCUGAGCCUUGCCCACCUCCAAAGUGUCCAGAGCCUUGCCCACCUCCAAAGUGCCCAGAGCCUUGCCUACCGCCAAGGUGUCCUGAGCCAUGCCCACCUCCAAAGUGCCAGCAGAAGUGCCCAUUCAAGAACAAGUAGCAGCUUCAGGACUCACCAGGACCAGGAAGGAUAAAGACACUGGCUCACCUAAUUCCACAGCUCCACUUACCUUCUUUUCAAAGCCUAACCUGGGUACAGAGGAAGCUUCUCUCUGUAGCCUCUACCAUAUCUGUGACAACUACUGCAUCACAGAGGGAAAGGUUUCCCCCCAAGGCUGUGAUACCAUUACUCUCCCAGAGGCAGCUGCAAAAGGGUGGUCCUCAGCUGUGCCAGACCCCAGGGCCUCAGAAGGAAGGGCAGCAGCUCUCUGUGGGGUGUCAGCAAAGGAUUCUCUGGAUGUCUCCUGCAGACCAGGACUUUCUACUUCCUGGGCCACUGUCACUUUUCUUUAAUUUCUGAAUAAAGUGCAUUUUCGUUGUGA